GACGAACGCUGGCGGCGUGCUUAAUACAUGCAAGUCGAACGGAAAGGCCCUGCUUUUGUGGGGCGCUCGAGUGGCGAAGGGGUGAGUAACACGUGAGUAACCUGCCCUUGACUUUGGGAUAACUCUAGGAAACUGGGGCUAAUACCGGAUAGGAGCUCCUGCUGCACGGUGGGGGUUGGAAAGAUUCGGCGGUUGGGGAUGGACUCGCGGCUUAUCAGCUUGUUGGUGGGGUAGUGGCUUACCAAGGCUUUGACGGGUAGCCGGCCUGAGAGGGUGACCGGCCACAAUGGGCCUGAGAUACGGCCCAGACGCCUACGGGAGGCAGCAGUGGGGAGUAUUGCGCAGUGGGCGGAAGCCUGAUACAGCGGCGCCGCGUGCGGGAUGACGGCCUUCGGGUUAUAAACCGCUUUCGCAUGUGCCGAAGCGUGAGUGACGGUAAUGAGUAAGGAAGCACCGGCUAACUACGUG
rnacentral:rRNA from 1 species